AGAGAGGCUGAGUCACCAGCAGAUUCUGGGCCUCCGGGCCCAGGCCUUACACACCACUAUCCAUCUUCCAGAAUUACACGUAUUGGUAUACACCCUCCUACAGAAGAACGGACAAGCCGAGAGGUUCCCGUGGCAUAGGUCGUGGACGCUUUCCCAGAGGUGGGUCCCAAUCAAAGUUACCAUUGCGAUAUGUUCACUGCAGGCAGACUGUC